CCCUUAGAUGUUCUGGGCUGCACGCGCGCUACACUGAUGCGAUCAACAAGUUUUUCCUAUGUCGAUUGACACGGGUAAUCUUUUGAACUCGCAUCGUGAUGGGGAUAGAUUAUUGUAAUUAUUAAUCUUCAACGAGGAAUUCCUAGUAGGUGCAAAUCAUCAGUUUGCAUCGAUUACGUCCCUGCCCUUUGUACACACCGCCCGUCGCUGCUACCGAUUGGUUGAUCUGGUGAAUUAUUCGGACUGCCGGCUGAAGGGGUUUCCUCAUCUGCCAGCGGAAAGUCUUGUUAACCCUAUCAACUAGAGGAAGCAGAAGUCGUAACA
rnacentral:rRNA from 1 species